rnacentral:lncRNA from 1 species
ACUCCUGACCUCAAGUGAUCUGCCCACCAUGGCCUCCCAAAGUGCUGGGAUUACAUGUGUGAACCACCGCACCCAGCCCAUAAGGUUUUUGAAGAAAUGGCAGCUAUAAGUAUCUACUGAGUGCCUGCUCUAUGCCAGGCAUUGUGCGAAGGGCCUAACAGGCACUGUCGUCUUUGAUCUAACAAUAGUCUUGUAUGGUGGGUACUAGGAUGGACUCCAUUUUACAGAUGAGGAAACCAAGACCCUUAGACUUGACUGACUUGUCCAAGGUGCUCAGCAGCACUGGGCCUGGCACCUCUGCCUGACUCUGAACUUGGGAGGAUGCCGCCUUCUGGGUGAAGGAGGGGAUGGAUGAAUGAUAAAGGAGUGGCAGCAGCAGAAAUGAAUGAGCGAGAGCCAAAGUGUCAGGCACAAGACAGGCUCCUCUGCGGGAGGAGGAGCUGACAGCAACUCCCGUUCUCUAGAACUGGGGAGGAGCCUGCAGAUUUCAGCUGCAGGUUUUUAUAUGUGUAGUAGGAUAAGUAGUGCCCCACCCCCAACAAAUUCACGCCCAUCCGGAAGCUCAGCAUGUGGCCUUACCUGAAAUAGGGUCUUUGCAAAUAUAAUAAGCUAAGGGUUUCAAGAUACAAUCAUCUUGGACUUAGGGUGGCCCCUAAAUCCAAUGACUCAUGUCUCCGUAAGAAGAAGAGAGAGAUGGCCAUGGGAACACAGAGGCAGAGACUGCAGAGAUGGGCCCACUGGGCAAGGAACGUCAGGAGCCAACAGCAGCUGGAAGAGCAGGUAUAUCCAACACGCAGUGAAGACAUGAGGUACCGUGUGGGCUGUUUCUAGGCACCGUGGCGUUUCGUCUUCCCAGCCACCUGCAUCCUCCUCGUCUCCAACCCACAGAUGAAGAAACUGACAGAGUAAGUGACAGAGCCCAAAUCCAAGUGCAAGCUCUUAACCAAUGCCUAUCCUCCUCCCCAUGGGAUGCCAUAUUACACACGCCUGUGGACACACACACCUCUAGACAUGUACAUCAAUUCUGAAAACAGAGAUGGGACCGUACAAUAGGUAAGUGUUUCAAAGCGACUUGUGGUUUUCAACCAACGGUACACCAUGGACAUCCUUCCAUGUUGAUGUCUCAUGCCAUUUAACGGCAGGAGCGUUUCCUAAACUCAGCACAAAGGUGGUAGACACACGCGCACACACACACACACAUUUCCUAAACUCAGCACAAAGGUGGUAGACACACACACACACACGUACACACACACACACACUUCCUAAACUCAGCACAAAGGCGGUGGACACACACACACACACACACACACACACGCGCGCGCACAGGAGAAAAGAGGAAAUAGGUCCCCUGAGGAGCCAACCCUAAAGCCUCAUUACCUGGAACUACCCUAGAAUCUAUCAUGAAAGGGAACCUAUUAAACCCAUAAAGAGGGACAACAAAGUUUGCAGAGGGUGUUUACCUUUCAGAAAAGAAAAUUUCAAGCCCUAAGUAGCUGUUUGCUUGUGGGCAUGGCCAGUGUGAAAGAAACACCCUGCCCCCGGCUAACAGGCUCUGCCGAGAGCCUAUUCAACAACUCGUGCCUCUGGGAGAAACGGGUGACUUUAUUCAGCUUCAUAACACUCAAAGAGCUUUCCCAUGGCGAGGCUUAAAACCAACCCCCAGGCCAUCUCUUCCUCCCCAGCCUACGUCUUCCUUGCUGAGUCUCUGGACUCAAGUCCUCCAGAAUAGAGAUGCAGGGAUGGGACUGCCAGCGGCUCAGGGGUCCAAUCUGCCUCAUAUGCACAGGGUUUUGUUUGCAUGUGAGGCAGAUUUUCGAAUAGAAAAAAAUUCACUUAGGAAUCUUGAUUUCUUCUCUAGAGGACCUGGAAUAUCUGGCCACAUGCUACCUACCCAAAUCACCCACACAUCUCUGUCACCUCCCCUGUGGGCAGUGCUGGGAUAUGGUGCUCAGUCUGGCCCUUCCGCUGCGUGCUUAUCCAGGAAGCUCAGCUGGUGUCAUCAAUCUCAUUUUAUAGGGGAGGAAAUUGAGGCCCAGAGAUGUCCUAACUCCAUUUUUUCCCUUUUUUUCUGAGAUGAAGUCUCACUCUGUCG